rnacentral:tRNA from 1 species
GGCUCUGUGGUUCAGUGGUAGAGUACUUGCCUUGCAUGCAUGAGGGCCUGGGUUCGAUUCCUCAGUACCA